rnacentral:rRNA from 1 species
GGCCUAACACAUGCAAGUCGAGCGGAAACGACACUAACAAUCCUUCGGGUGCGUUAAUGGGCGUCGAGCGGCGGACGGGUGAGUAAUGCCUAGGAAAUUGCCUUGAUGUGGGGGAUAACCAUUGGAAACGAUGGCUAAUACCGCAUAAUGCCUACGGGCCAAAGAGGGGGACCUUCGGGCCUCUCGCGUCAAGAUAUGCCUAGGUGGGAUUAGCUAGUUGGUGAGGUAAUGGCUCACCAAGGCGACGAUCCCUAGCUGGUCUGAGAGGAUGAUCAGCCACACUGGAACUGAGACACGGUCCAGACUCCUACGGGAGGCAGCAGUGGGGAAUAUUGCACAAUGGGCGAAAGCCUGAUGCAGCCAUGCCGCGUGUAUGAAGAAGGCCUUCGGGUUGUAAAGUACUUUCAGUUGUGAGGAAGGGGGUAGCGUUAAUAGCGCUAUCUCUUGACGUUAGCAACAGAAGAAGCACCGGCUAACUCCGUGCCAGCAGCCGCGGUAAUACGGAGGGUGCGAGCGUUAAUCGGAAUUACUGGGCGUAAAGCGCAUGCAGGUGGUUCAUUAAGUCAGAUGUGAAAGCCCGGGGCUCAACCUCGGAACUGCAUUUGAUACUGGUGAACUAGAGUACUGUAGAGGGGGGUAGAAUUUCAGGUGUAGCGGUGAAUGGCAUAGAGAUCUGAAGGAAUACCC